rnacentral:rRNA from 1 species
UAGGGAAUCUUCCACAAUGGACGCAAGUCUGAUGGAGCAACGCCGCGUGAGUGAAGAAGGUCUUCGGAUCGUAAAGCUCUGUUGUUGGUGAAGAAGGAUAGAGGCAGUAACUGGUCUUUAUUUGACGGUAAUCAACCAGAAAGUCACGGCUAACUACGUGCCAGCAGCCGCGGUAAUACGUAGGUGGCAAGCGUUGUCCGGAUUUAUUGGGCGUAAAGCGAGCGCAGGCGGAAUGAUAAGUCUGAUGUGAAAGCCCACGGCUCAACCGUGGAACUGCAUCGGAAACUGUCAUUCUUGAGUGCAGAAGAGGAGAGUGGAACUCCAUGUGUAGCGGUGGAAUGCGUAGAUAUAUGGAAGAACACCAGUGGCAAAGGCGGCUCUCUGGUCUGCAACUGACGCUGAGGCUCGAAAGCAUGGGUAGCGAACAGGAUUAGAUACCCUGGUAGUCCAUGCCGUAAACGAUGAGCGCUAGGUGUUGGGGACUUUCCGGUCCUCAGUGCCGCAGCAAACGCAUUAAGCGCUCCGCCUGGGGAGUACGACCGCAAGGUUGAAAC